rnacentral:lncRNA from 1 species
GUUUUUGUCUUCAUGAGGAGGUCUUCACCAAGGGAAAGAAAGGGGUGGGAGAGUGAAGGAGAAUUGCCAUUUCCAAAUGCCUUCCUUACCAAGACAAUUAUGACCGUCAUGAGCCAACAUGAAGCCAUCAAAACAAGUGCAACGAUAAUUGCCUGGAAUAUUCAAACAGUCAUGGACACAGCCUCCAUUGAGCUCAUUUCCACAUUCAUCGAUGUCUGAGGAAUAAAACAGAAGUAAACCAGACAGGUGCUAUUUCUUUGAUGUGAAAACAUAUGCACUUACCUUUUAACCAGCCAUUCCACUUCUAGGAAUGUUGAUAUUGUCUUUUGAUGUUCAAAAUUUUUAAAUUUUCAGGAAGUCCAAUUUGUCUAUUUUUUCUUUUGUUGUAUGUGGCUUUGGUGUGAUAUCCAAGAAAUUAUCUCCUCGGCAGUUUCUUAAAAAUUUAAACACAAAUACAACAUAUGACCCAGCAAUCCCACUCCUAGGUAUAUACCCAGAUACAACAGCACCUCUGUAGCAGCCUGGCCAAAAACUCAUAACCUCAAUUUUAUCAUGAAAAAAAACAAAGACAUUCUCUUCUAUCAAUCAUUGUUUUUUGAGACAGCGUCUCAUUUUGUCACCCAGGCUGGAGUGCAGUGGUGCCAUCAUAGCUCACUGCAAACUCCUGGGCUCAAGUGAUCCUCCUGCCUCAGCCUCCUGAGUAGCAGGGACUACAGGCACACAUCACCACACCAGCAAUUUUUUGUUUUGUUUUGUUUUGUUUUAGAGACAGGUAUCUCACUAUGUUGCCCAGGCUUAUCUCACACUCCUGGCCUCAUGUAAGCCUCCCUCCUUGGCAUCUCAAAGUGUUAGGAUUACAAGCAUGAGCCACUGCACCUGGCCUCAUAUCAAUUCUUAUAAUGACAUUAAGACAAAUGAAGUGAGCAGUACUCAUCAGAAGUGUCAAUGUCAGGAAAGACUGAGGAACUAAAUCUAAUGUGGGACUUUACUUGGAUUCUGGAACAAAAAAAGAAUGGUAGGGAAAAAUGGUGAAAUUUGAAUAAAGUUUGUAGUUUACUUAAUAGCAUUGUGCCAGUGUUGAUUUCCUGGUUUUGAUAAUUGUACUAUAGUUAUGUAAGUUGGUUGGUCCCAAGAGGCUUAAAAAUUAAUAGGCCAAGAAAUGGAUAAAGGAGUUACAUCUUUGUAAGAGGGACAUCCUGGCCGGGCGCAGUGGCUCACGCCGUAUGGAGGAAUCAGCAGAUAAAUGUUUUGGGGAGAGAUAGCUUUUUGGCCUCCCAUGACAUGGCAGGGGGAGCGGGGAAGAGAGAGAGAAAGAGAGAGAGCGCGAGCUACUUCAUGGAUGGAUCACCAACCCCACUUGCUAUGCACCUGACCAGGACCACACCUUCUCCAGUGGGAGCGGUGGGAGCCUCACUCCUCGUGCACAAAGGGGAGCUCCCUGAAUGAUUUCCCAAGGGGUGUCACCAGAUCCAAACUUGCCCGUCAUAAUCCCAUCUGUUAUUCAUAUUUGCUAUCUAUAUUUUCUUUUGGUCUUCCCUUCCUUUGUAACAAAGUUCAUUGUAAAGAUCCCAUUUCUUGUCUCAGCUAUGCUAAGACAAGGAGAUGGGUGGAUAGGGAGGAUCAGGUCAUUGCUACAACACUGCAAAAACAUCUGACAGUCACUUACCUA